rnacentral:piRNA from 1 species
ACCAACAGGAAUAGCAUUGAAUCUGGAGGU